rnacentral:rRNA from 2 species
AGAGUUUGAUCAUGGCUCAGAGCGAACGCUGGCGGCAGGCCUAACACAUGCAAGUCGAGCGGGCACCGCAAGGUGUCAGCGGCAGACAGGAGAGUAACACGUGGGAACGUGCCCUUCGGUUCGGAAUAACUCGGGGAAACCCGAGCUAAUACCGGAUACGCCCUUACGGGGAAAGAUUUAUCGCCGAUGGAGCGGCCCGCGUCUGAUUAGCUAGUUGGUGAGGUAACGGCUCACCAAGGCGACGAUCAGUAGCUGGUCUGAGAGGAUGAUCAGCCUCACUGGGACUGAGACACGGCCCAGACUCCUACGGGAGGCAGCAGUGGGGAAUAUUGGACAAUGGGCGCAAGCCUGAUCCAGCCAUGCCGCGUGGAUGAUGAAGGCCUUAGGGUUGUAAAGUCCUUUUAACGGGGAAGAUAAUGACGG